GGCAGGGCCCUCGGCCCAUAUAAACCCCAGGGCUGGGACCAGCCAGUUGGUUCCCUAUCAGCAGCCGAAGAGGAAGUAGCCUCCAGGAAGGAAGGGCCCAGAGAUGUGGUAGCCGGCAGAUACGCUACCCUUAGAACUAAGGGGACACCAGGAGCCCAUAAGGUAUCCUUGUCUACUAGGCACUGAGCCUCAGAGAGGGAGUUUUUCUCUUUUAAAGGGGCAGAGCAUGGUGGUUGGCAGUUGUGUGUGUG